GGCCUUGAGGUGUUAUCACGCUAGAUUGCAAAUCUUGAGAGGCAGACUAAUUGCUGCCAGGGCCU
rnacentral:tRNA from 1 species